UACGUAGGGUGCAAGCGUUGUCCGGAAUUAUUGGGCGUAAAGAGCUCGUAGGCGGUUUGUCGCGUCUGCUGUGAAAACCCGCGGCUCAACUGCGGGCCUGCAGCCGAUACGGGCAGGCUAGAGUUCGGUAGGGGAGACUGGAAUUCCUGGUGUAGCGGUGGAAUGCGCAGAUAUCAGGAGGAACACCGGUGGCGAAGGCGGCCUUCUGGACAGUGACUGACGCUGAGACGCGAAAGCGUGGGGAGCAAACAGG
rnacentral:rRNA from 1 species